rnacentral:misc_RNA from 1 species
CAACUCAUUAUUGUGCUGCGUGAUUAUCUUAAUGGAGCUCCUACCCCACCGUUCUUUAAUUAGACUCGGCUCACCAGUUAGAUAAUACUGUUCCAGCCGCGUCUUCUUCUUCUUCGCGAAAAACCAAUCGAUAUUUGCUCCGCGUGUGUCAAGUGAAAGAAAGAAGUAGACUGUAACGUGAUAUUGAAACAGCGAGAUAAGAAUUACAUUAAAAAAAGUGUUCGCGUUGCAUUUUUCUUCAGUGAUACUCUAUUUUUGGAGGUAAACCAUUUUGUGCAAAAAAUUAAAGACUCUUCAACACCGGUCUAGUCUUGAUCGUUUACGGGAAUGUACAAUGACGUUCGUUGGAAUGUUCACGUGUGUUUCUCGAUAACUUCUUCGUUACGAUUCGCGUCUCACCAAUACGCAACUAGUUGCACGGUAUCUUGGCCUUGACUUUUAUGUUUAUCUUGAUGGAGGAACGGUUCUGGAAACUAUUUUCUAUACAAAGAUCAUUCGUAAUCCUGCUUUUCCUUCGUUCGAUUAAUCUAGCAUUUUCCAAACUUCCAUGGAUCAUUUUCGACAACGACCAUCUUUCCUGACCAACUCUACAUCCCAAAUUUUUCGUCCUUUUAUAAUAAAUAUUUCGACACCAAGUAAAAAUUAAAUAAAAAAUACCGCUUUAUUAUUGAUCCACAAUAAUAAGUGAUGGCCAUCCAUAUUUUGGAAAUUUUUAGAUCGACUAAUUUGCGAAUUCAUCGAUAUUUUAGAUAUUCUUCGCGAACAUUUUCAGUAACUUGAUCAGUUUUAUGUAAUUUGAAUGAUCGCGUUGUAUGACAAACAACAAACGGUAAACUUAGAUAAUAGUUGACCUUCGAUGUGCUUCAUACAAUGUCAUAUUACGAUCGAAGAUACUGAAACAAUUUUUUCCCGUUCAAUUUUUACCGUUCAAACUGAUACUUUCAAUAUGCGUCACAUUCCCGCCAUUUCUAUCGAGUUCGCGAUCUCGUGCGCAAUGAGGUAUCACGGUAAAUGUCACCUAUGCGCGAAUGACAAGAACGGGAUGACAAUAGCUUUUAGAAAAGUAUAGAGUGAUUCUUCCUAUUAUUCACACGAAAUAUCCGUUACCUGAGGAACGUCGACCGAAUCGAUGCAAUAAUUGUUAAUGAUUUGUCACAAUUGUUGGUUAUUAGAAUAACAACAUUGACACCAUUGUUCUUUCUUAAUAUACGAAGCGCGUACGAUAACCGCUAUUGGACACUGGAAACGGACGUUGUUAUUCUCGCCCUCCAAGUGAUUUUUGCGCCAUUUUCGAAAGAUUUUUAGGAACAAUCUUUUCUCCUAAUGAAAGCACACAGCACGAAACGUAUGCAUCGAAUUUAGAAAAUGUCUUACCGUACCAUAUAUGUAAUUUUGUAAAUAAACAGGUUAGCUGAUCGAUUGAUUCGUGUCACUUUAAUAACAUUUCACUCAAACAAGUAUUAACUUUUAUUCAAACGAUGACUCUUUGUGGAUCGUAAAUAUAUUUUAGUAGUUAAGAAAAACUUCUUGAUUUUGUAUUUACACUAUUAAUUAACAUUUAACUAUCUUUAAAUGGUGCUGCCACCUGUCCUUAUCCGUGACAUUUUUAAAAAUCAGAUAGAAACUUCAGUUUGUACCAUCAAAGACGGUCCUGAAACGUUCUUAACCUCGAUAAACUUUGUUCCUUCUCCAUGAAAGCAUAAACAUAUUUCUUCGAUAUACCGUUAAAAAUACAAAAUGACUGUAUGGGAGAGGUUGCGGAAUCCCUGUGGCUGGAGAGCUGGUGCUAAACAGAUUUCAGUCGAUGCGAUGAUACCGAUUUUUGCAGUCCCGACUUUGGCGGUGAUAGCCGCACAGACAGUGUUAUGUACUGUAAUUAUAUUUGUUGCAACGCCGAUAUUGGUGUACUAUUUACAUCAUAAUUUUCUGAGGUUCUUACUACGUACUAAAUUCUUUUUAAUGUGGACAAUCACUAGCGUUAUCAUGUUGAUGCUAAUCUUUGAAAUAAGCGUUGUACCAUUGUUAGAAAUAUUACCAGAAGAGAAUGUAGUGUUUAUCAUUUGUGUUGUGGGAGGCAUAUGGUGUGGCUAUGUAACUAAAGUAAAUGCUGAUUCCGCUACUCAGGAGAGUACUCUUUUGCAAGGCUUGGAACUCGGUGAAGGAAGCGGAGAGCUUUGCAUUACGUGUAGAAGAAGAGCACCUCCUAAAGCACAUCAUUGUAGGAUGUGUCAAACUUGUAUUCUCAAUAGGGAAUAUCAUUGCAAAUGGCUGGAUUGUUGUAUAGGUUCAAGCAACUUAAAGUGGUAUCUGGCAUGUUUACUCUUCUCUGCUAUAGCUUUCAUCUAUGGUUCUAAUUUAACUAUGACUAGCGUUUGUCAUCCUUUCAUAGUUAUUGGCACUAUCCUUUUACCAGAUGAUUGCAGCGACGUGUACCAUCAAUUGGACAUUGCCCUUUGCUUCGUCUCUGCUCUCUACAGCUUGCUCGUUGGGCUAGUGGUAGUUUGUUAUUUAAUAUAUCAUCUUUGGUUAAUUUACCUUGGCACAACAUCGAACGAACGUCGCCUUCUUGAAGCUGGAAGCCAGUAUGACCAUGGGAUGUUGAAAAAUGUGUCUCGAUUGUUUUGCUGCAAAACUUAGUUAUUAUUAAAAUAUUAUUAAAUUUACUUUGUACGGAAGACGAUACUUUGCUCUCUUUAAAGGGUAUUAGAAAAAAUCCGUCAUAACGCAGUGAGAUACUUAAUACUCUUAAAAUAUUAUUAAUAAUGUUAAGCUUAGUAAAACCAUACCAUGAUCUGUAUAAACGCGCUGACUUCGGUUAAAAUAUUAAUUAUUUAUAAUUCACUAUCAAGCACAAUUGUAUAUUUAUUGUAACUGUGAUAAAGUGGCCAUUGUACAACUAAUAUAAUAAAUUGUAUUGAUCGAUUACAGUA